rnacentral:lncRNA from 1 species
AGCAUUCAACAUAAGAUUCCGACAAGUGUCCAGGUCAACAGUUACAAGGCUAAGAACAAGCAGUAGUCAACCACACCAAGCAAAUUGACAAAAAGAUCUACCUAGUUCACGAUAAAGCACAAAUAAGUAAGAAAAUCUCCAAGCUUUGAGUUGCCUGUAAUAUAAAUCCAAAGCAGAGAACCAUAAGGAUGCAUAUGUGCAUUCUACAAUAAUAAUAAUAAUAAGACCCAAAUCACAUAAAUUAACCUACAAAAUACACAAAAAAUCAAAUUUUAGAACCUAAUGCAAACGGAGAAAGAGGACUUACAUCUCGAUUUCAACAAAGAGUGUUAUACCCUUCUUCAAAAUACACCGAUUCUACCAAACUUUUGCCGAUUCAAAAUACACCGAUUCUGCCAAAUUUCUUCAAAGUACACCGAUUCUACAAAUUAACAGAGAAAAUAAACUUAAAACCCACAUGUGAAGAAAGAAAGACAAACAGGCAAAAUCAAAGCAAAAUAGAAGAGGAAUUUGUAUGAAAGAACAAAAUCAAAUAAACUUACAUCUAAUUGAUUGAUAGAUCUGAAAUUUUCUUUUAUAUCUCUUUCAUUUUGCAACAGAGGAGGCGCUGAAGAAAGAGGAGGUACUGAAGAGAAGCAGAGAGCUAUUGUAUUUGGAAUUUUGUAACUACACGAGCUUGAAAUCAGAGAUGAAAAAGAAAUGGAAGAGAUUAAGUGAAGAAGAAAUGGAAGAGAUUAAGUGAAGGAAAAGAGAUGUGCAGUCACAGUUUUGAUUAAGUGAAGAAGAAAUGGAACAUUGCUAUGGGUUUUGAUUAAGUGAGAGCGGGCGAGGGUUUCUGAAAAUGAAAAAAGGGAAAAUGAGAAAG